CGGGAAUCUUCCACAAUGGACGAAAGUCUGAUGGAGCAACGCCGCGUGAGCGAUGAAGGCCUUCGGGUCGUAAAGCUCUGUUGUUAGGGAAGAACAAGUAUCGGAGUAACUGCCGGUGCCUUGACGGUACCUAACCAGAAAGCCACGGCCAACUACGUGCCAGCAGCCGCGGUAAUACGUAGGUGGCAAGCGUUGCCCGGAAUUAUUGGGCGUAAAGCGCGCGCAGGCGGUCCUUUAAGUCUGAUGGGAAAGCCCACGGCUCAACCGUGGAGGGUCAUUGGAAACUGGGGGACUUGAGUGCAGAAGAGGAAAGCGGAAUUCCACGUGUAGCGGUGAAAUGCGUAGAGAUGUGGAGGAACACCAGUGGCGAAGGCGGCUUUCUGGUCUGUAACUGACGCUGAGGCGCGAAAGCGUGGGGAGCAAAC
rnacentral:rRNA from 1 species